UGCUCAUCCGAUCUCAGGCAAGAGACAACCUGGCAAACUGAAACAUCUUAGUAGCCAAAGGAAAAGAAAGCAAAAGCGAUUCCCGUAGUAGUGGCGAGCGAAACGGGAGCAGCCUAAACCGUGAAAACGGGGUUGUGGGAGAGCAAUACAAGCGUUGUGCUGCUAGGCGAAGCGGUUGAGUGCCGCACCCUAGAUGGCUAAAGUCCAGUAGCCGAAAGCAUCACUAG